GAACGCUGGCGGCGUGCUUAACACAUGCAAGUCGAGCGGAAAGGCCCUUCGGGGUACUCGAGCGGCGAACGGGUGAGUAACACGUGAGCAACCUGCCCCAGGCUUUGGGAUAACCCCGGGAAACCGGGGCUAAUACCGGAUAUGACCUUGCACCGCAUGGUGUUUGGUGGAAAGUUUUUCGGCUUGGGAUGGGCUCGCGGCCUAUCAGCUUGUUGGUGGGGUGAUGGCCUACCAAGGCGACGACGGGUAGCCGGCCUGAGAGGGCGACCGGCCACACUGGGACUGAGACACGGCCCAGACUCCUACGGGAGGCAGCAGUGGGGAAUAUUGCACAAUGGGCGGAAGCCUGAUGCAGCGACGCCGCGUGAGGGAUGACGGCCUUCGGGUUGUAAACCUCUUUCAGCAGGGACGAAGCGUAAGUGACGGUACCUGCAGAAGAAGCGCCGGCCAACUACGUGCCAGCAGCCGCGGUAAGACGUAGGGCGCGAGCGUUGUCCGGAUUUAUUGGGCGUAAAGAGCUCGUAGGCGGC
rnacentral:rRNA from 1 species